rnacentral:misc_RNA from 1 species
GCGGAGGGAUCAUUACACAAAUAUGAAGGCGGGCUGGAACCUCUCGGGGUUACAGCCUUGCUGAAUUAUUCACCCUUGUCUUUUGCGUACUUCUUGUUUCCUUGGUGGGUUCGCCCACCACUAGGGCAAACAUAAACCUUUUGUAAUUGCAAUCAGCGUCAGUAACAAAUUAAUAAUUACAACUUUCAACAACGGAUCUCUUGGUUCUGGCA